rnacentral:rRNA from 1 species
UACGGGGGGGGCAAGCGUUGUUCGGAAUUACUGGGCGUAAAGGGCUCGUAGGUGGCCAACUAAGUCAGCUGUGAAAUCUCCGAGCUUAACUCGGAACUGUCAGCUGAUACUGAUGUGCUAGAGUGCGGAAGGGGCAAUCGGAAUUCUUGGUGUAGCGGUGAAAUGCGUAGAUAUCAAGAGGAACACCUGAGGUGAAGACGGGUUGCUGGGCCGACACUGACGCUGAGUGCGCGAAAGCCAGGGGAGCAAACGGG